GAGUGGGGUAGAGGCGCGGGUAAUAUGAGUAUCGAUUAGGAAGUGCUGGCACACUGAUGAGCAAUCGAGAAAGGAUGACCGCCGAAGUGGAGAACUUGCCAAACGUUUUCUGCUGGGUCGACAUUGAAUAAGUGUCGAACUGUCACCGCCGAAUCUGAAGUGAUUCUGUAGGUGAAGCGCUACUUCAUGA
rnacentral:ncRNA from 1 species